UACGUAGGGUGCAAGCGUUGUCCGGAAUUAUUGGGCGUAAAGAGCUCGUAGGCGGUUCGUCGCGUCGGCUGUGAAAACCCGGAGCUCAACUCCGGGCCUGCAGUCGAUACGGGCGGACUUGAGUGUUGCAGGGGAGACUGGAAUUCCUGGUGUAGCGGUGAAAUGCGCAGAUAUCAGGAGGAACACCAGUGGCGAAGGCGAGUCCCUGGACACUUCCUGACACUGAGGCACGAAAGCUAGGGGAGCAAACAGG
rnacentral:rRNA from 1 species